rnacentral:rRNA from 1 species
AACGAACGCUGGCGGCGUGCUUAACACAUGCAAGUCGAACGUGAUCCGGAGCUUGCUCCGGUGAAAGUGGCGCACGGGUGGGUAACGCGUGGAUAACCUGCCCUGGUAUCUGGGAUAACAUCUCGAAAGGGGUGCUAAUACCGGAUAAGCCUACGGAGCCCUCGGUCUCUGCAGGAAAAGGUGGCCUCUGUUUCAUUCUCCCGUAUCAGGAUGGGUCCGCGUACCAUUCGCCAGUUGGUAGGGUAAUGGCCUACCAAGGCGACGAUGGUUAGCUGGUCUGAGAGGAUGAUCAGCCACACUGGAACUGAGACACGGUCCAGACUCCUACGGGAGGCAGCAGUGGGGAAUUUUGCGCAAUGGGGGAAACCCUGACGCAGCAACGCCGCGUGAGUGAUGAAGGCCUUCGGGUCGUAAAGCUCUGUCAGAGGGGAAGAAAUGAUGUGGUGCUAAUACCAUUACUUCUUGACGGUACCCUCAAAGGAAGCACCGGCUAACUCCGUGCCAGCCGCCGCAGUAACAC